rnacentral:rRNA from 1 species
GACGAACGCUGGCGGCGUGCUUAACACAUGCAAGUCGAGCGAUGAAAUCCCUUCGGGGAUGGAUUAGCGGCGGACGGGUGAGUAACACGUGGGCAACCUGCCUCAAAGUGGGGGAUAGCCUUCCGAAAGGGAGAUUAAUACCGCAUAACAUUAGUUUUUCACAUGAAAUACUAAUUAAAGGAGUAAUCCGCUUUGAGAGGGGCCCGCGGCGCAUUAGCUAGUUGGUGAGGUAACGGCUCACCAAGGCCACGAUGCGUAGCCGACCUGAGAGGGUGAUCGGCCACAUUGGAACUGAGACACGGUCCAGACUCCUACGGGAGGCAGCAGUGGGGAAUAUUGCACAAUGGGCGAAAGCCUGAUGCAGCAACGCCGCGUGAGUGAUGAAGGCCUUCGGGUUGUAAAGCUCUGUCUUUGGGGACGAUAAUGACGGUACCCAAGGAGGAAGCCACGGCUAACUACGUGCCAGCCGCCGCCGUAAGAC